rnacentral:rRNA from 1 species
AUUGAACGCUGGCGGCAUGCCUUACACAUGCAAGUCGAACGGCAGCACGGGAGCUUGCUCCUGGUGGCGAGUGGCGAACGGGUGAGUAAUACAUCGGAACGUACCCUGAAGUGGGGGAUAACGUAGCGAAAGUUACGCUAAUACCGCAUAUUCUGUGAGCAGGAAAGAGGGGGAUCGCAAGACCUCUUGCUUUAGGAGCGGCCGAUGUCGGAUUAGCUAGUUGGUGAGGUAAAGGCUCACCAAGGCGACGAUCCGUAGUGGGUCUGAGAGGAUGAUCCGCCACACUGGGACUGAGACACGGCCCAGACUCCUACGGGAGGCAGCAGUGGGGAAUUUUGGACAAUGGGCGCAAGCCUGAUCCAGCCAUGCCGCGUGAGUGAAGAAGGCCU